UCAAAAGCUGCGCUCCUUCAUUAACCCUUCUCAUUAAACCUUCAUAUACUAUUCAUCUUAAUUACGCCUUCUAUCUUCCUCUUCUUUCUCAUAAUACACCAUAGCCAGUUUAGUCUUUUUUCUUUGUGCCCUGCCGGAAAAAAAAUGUUAGUGAGACAAGAUUUUGUGGCAUCCUUCAUAACUGUGCUAUCCCCAAAAUAUAAGACAUCGACCAAUCGGAGCCACUGGUGGUGGACUUAAGAUACCGAUUCGAAGUCGAAAAUCAGUGAUUGCUUGAAAGCACUCAAAGACUUCAAGGACAUGAGACUUUCUGCUCCGGAGAAAAUUCACGGAACAGUUCACGACUUUGCACGUUCUUUCUCUUCGAUUUUUAAAUUAUCUUAAUUCUUUUUACUCAAUUUUAUUGCUAUUUACUUUUGAAACAAUUAGAGGAUAUCACGAAUUCUCUAGAUAUUGAAAUUAGAACUUGUGAAAUAUAUACAAAUAGGGCAGCGUUGAUUGAAGUGUUGGUCAAUCUUUUGAUGUUUAGUUGAAAAUUCAAUCAUCUUAUUUCAAAGGAGAGGUUUUCCUGUCGUUAGACUGAUUUAUUGUUAUAUCUGGACUUCUCAUAGUUUUAUUUUUCGUUUUAAUUAUGCUAUUUUGUUUUCUCCUUAAGUGUUGGCCGUUGGACAAGGUUGCAGUAGGUUUGGAUGCUCAAAAUAUUAAAUUCAUUAGAAUUGUUAAAAGGACCUUUCUUUUGACCUUCCCUAUAAUUGUUAACAUUCAUUACAAUCAUAAACAAUUCACAUUUACUAAUUUAAUUGAGUUAUUUCACAUUUAACAUUUGUUUUGUCAAUAAAAAUUAUAUAGGAUGUUAAAAAUUCAUUAAAAGUGGGUAAAUCAUGAUAAGAUGUUUGACAUUAUUUUCUUUUAUUAAAUUUAAAUUUUAAUAUUUUAACUAUUUUUUCAGAUGGGGAUUGAUAAGCUUCAUGAAUGCUUAAAACAAGUCCCGCCUUGAGAGAGAUUAUGAAACAGUCACACAUGUAACAAAAACAUCAACAUUAAAAUGUAAUUUCUAUUAAACUCUAUAAUGCUGACCUGAAAUAUUGUGAUGCAUUAUUCUUGAGUACCAACUUUCCUUUUGAUGUUGAAUCGUAUUUUCAGAACACUCAAAUAUAAUAUUGACGCAUCCGACUGUUUUCCUUAUUAGGAAUUCAUUUCCCUUUUUUACCCAAGUGAUUGUCUUGGGCAUAUGAUGAUGUAUUCUUCUUUUAAUAGGAUGUUGAACUAAACAAAUGAUGGUCACACAUAACAGAGUGGAGACUAUGAUGUUCAAAAUGAGCAAGUUAAAAAUGUAAAGACGAACAGUCGGAUCCAUUGGAGGUACAUGUUUAACAGCUGCAACUCUGUUACUUGCUUCGGCCAAACAAGUAGCGUCCUUGCUAGAACUUGAUACAAUUGAGGACUAUUUCAGAGUAUGGUAUGGUACCGACAAAGCAAUCGAUAAUCCAUAGGCAUUUAUUAUAUUCUCUUGCUUUCUUCUCAUAAAGUUGGACUCACAGUUUGUGAUCGUGUAUUUUUAUGAAAUUAUUUUUGUUAAAUUUGUGGAACAGUUUAGCGCGAUUCGAGUAUUUACAACUUACAAGUUGCGUCUAUGAAUG